rnacentral:rRNA from 1 species
AAAAGUGAAAGACGGUCUUGCUGUCACUUAUAGAUGGAUCCGCGCUGCAUUAGCUAGUUGGUAAGGUAACGGCUUACCAAGGCAACGAUGCAUAGCCGACCUGAGAGGGUGAUCGGCCACACUGGAACUGAGACACGGUCCAGACUCCUACGGGAGGCAGCAGUAGGGAAUCUUCCGCAAUGGGCGAAAGCCUGACGGAGCAACGCCGCGUGAGUGAUGAAGGUCUUCGGAUCGUAAAACUCUGUUAUUAGGGAAGAACAUAUGUGUAAGUAACUGUGCACAUCUUGACGGUACCUAAUCAGAAAGCCACGGCUAACUACGUGCCAGCAGCCGCGGUAAUACGUAGGUGGCAAGCGUUAUCCGGAAUUAUUGGGCGUAAAGCGCGCGUAGGCGGUUUUUUAAGUCUGAUGUGAAAGCCCACGGCUCAACCGUGGAGGGUCAUUGGAAACUGGAAAACUUGAGUGCAGAAGAGGAAAGUGGAAUUCCAUGUGUAGCGGUGAAAUGCGCAGAGAUAUGGAGGAACACCAGUGGCGAAGGCGACUUUCUGGUCUGUAACUGACGCUGAUGUGCGAAAGCGUGGGGAUCAAACAGGAUUAGAUACCCUGGUAGUCCACGCCGUAAACGAUGAGUGCUAAGUGUUAGGGGGUUUCCGCCCCUUAGUGCUGCAGCUAACGCAUUAAGCACUCCGCCUGGGGAGUACGACCGCAAGGUUGAAACUCAAAGGAAUUGACGGGGACC